rnacentral:snoRNA from 1 species
CCACAUGAUGAUAUCUAUUCAAUCUAUACUAUUUCUGGUACCUCUUAUUUUACUCCUGGCUUCGCGCUGGAGAAUGCAUUAAAAUGGACUUCUGAUG